rnacentral:lncRNA from 1 species
GAAAAGCCACCGACCGGUCCGUGCCAAAGCCCGAGGCCCCGGCAUCAGCAGCGCCGAGAGCUCCAAGCCGAGGUGCCCGCCCCACCGCCGCCACAGGCGAGCCGCGCUCCGGCCUCCUCGGAGAGCAGCGCCUGCCUGUCCGGAGCCGCCCCGGCCGUUGCCCGCUCCUCAUACCUGUCCAGUCCACCGAGCGCCUCCCUCUCUUCGGCUGUCAGGCUAGGGGACGCCUCCUCGCUCUCGCCGCUCGCUUUUCCCGCCGCCAUUUUCUUUUCCUCAUCACCGAAAGCGGCGGCGGCGGCGGCAGUAGCGAGCGACACUCCGCAGGAUUUCAUGGAAACGUAGCGAAUUCACAACUCCAACGCCGACACCCCCCUCCCCGGACCGGAGCCCGCAAGGACGCUUUCAAUCUCCGCACGGGACCGGCACACCAACUUUAUCUCUGCCUCCUCCUCUGCCGCGAGAGGCGGCGGCGAAAAAUCCUAACGCGGUAGAGGUGAAGGCAGCGGCCG